GGUUGGUCCUAGUGCAGUGGUGUUUACAACUAAUUGAUCACAAUAGUUACAGAUUUGUUCCUUCUCCAUUCCCACUAUUUCACUGGACUAGACUUAA
rnacentral:Y_RNA from 1 species